ACAUGCAAGUCGAACGGAGCUGAGAGGAGCUUGCUUUUCUUAGCUUAGUGGCGAACGGGUGAGUAACGCGUGAGUAACCUGCCCUGGAGUGGGGGACAACAGUUGGAAACGACUGCUAAUACCGCAUAAGCCCACGGAUCCGCAUGGAUCUGCGGGAAAAGGAUUUAUUCGCUUCAGGAUGGACUCGCGUCCAAUUAGCUAGUUGGUGAGGUAACGGCCCACCAAGGCGACGAUUGGUAGCCGGACUGAGAGGUUGAACGGCCACAUUGGGACUGAGACACGGCCCAGACUCCUACGGGAGGCAGCAGUGGGGGAUAUUGCACAAUGGGGGAAACCCUGAUGCAGCGACGCCGCGUGGAGGAAGAAGGUUUUCGGAUUGUAAACUCCUGUCGUUAGGGACGAUAAUGACGGUACCUAACAAGAAAGCACCGGCUAACUACGUGCCAGCAGCCGCGGUAAAACGUAGGGUGCAAGCGUUGUCCGGAAUUACUGGGUGUAAAGGGAGCGCAGGCGGACCGGCAAGUUGGAAGUGAAAACUAUGGGCUCAACCCAUAAAUUGCUUUCAAAACUGCUGGCCUUGAGUAGUGCAGAGGUAGGUGGAAUUCCCGGUGUAGCGGUGGAAUGCGCACGAUAUCGGGAGGAACACCAGUGGCGAAGGCGACCUACUGGGCACCAACUGACGCUGAGGCUCGAAAGCAU
rnacentral:rRNA from 1 species